GUACAAUUUACCUUCUUCUUCAAGCAUUGUUUUUUAAAUUUCUGCCAUUUUGAAGCUGCUGAUGAUCGCCGGAUGCGUAAAUCAUUUUUAGCUUUGGAAAGAGCGCACGUCAGCAUUGCUUCAAUCCGUAAAUCGCGUCUGCGCUUUCGGCGACACUUUGAUCUUUUGCGGCGAACUUCGUCAAUCCAAGUUAGUAACCGUUCAGUUUCUGGCUUGUCGGCAACAAUACAGAAGAGAUUCACACAACUGCACACAAAGGAUUUGAAACCACCGAGCAAAACACCCUCCUCACAGCACAGUCGUAAGAUGACUAAGGGAAGUCUACGCUGCGCGUCUGAAGUCCGCUGUCUAUACCCCCUCCUCUGUCUUUAUGACGUAGUCUUACGCGCGAAAAUGGAAACUAG